rnacentral:lncRNA from 1 species
CGUUCAAUUUGAGAAUGUGCUAUUAUCUUGUAAACGGUCUAGAUCCCCACCCCUAAACCAUAUAUAUUCCUGUAGGGGAUAAUAAAACAAAUAAAAUGAAAUAGAAGGGAAGUCCCUAGGGGGUCACUCCACCCCCUUUUGUUUGAAAACUUGUAAACGGUCAAAAUCCCCUCCCCUAAACCAAAUAUAUUCUUGUAUGGGACAAUAAAACAAAUCACAUGAAAUUAAAUGGAAGUUCCUGGGGGUCACCCCCACCCCGUUCAAUUUGAGAAUGUACUAUUAUCUUGUAAACGGUUUAGAUCCCCACCCC